AAUGGCCGGUACAAUGGGUCGAACCCGCAAGGGGGAGAAUAAUCCCACCAAAGCCGGUCUCAGUUCGGAUUGAGGGCUGAAAUUCGCCCUCAUGAAG
rnacentral:ncRNA from 1 species